GAUCCUGGCUCAGAAUGAACGCUAGCUACAGGCUUAACACAUGCAAGUCGAGGGGCAGCAUGGUCUUAGCUUGCUAAGGCCGAUGGCGACCGGCGCACGGGUGAGUAACGCGUAUCCAACCUGCCUUACACUCUUGGACAGCCUUCUGAAAUGGAGAUUAAUACAAGAUGUUAUCAUGAGUAAGCAUUUUCGCAUGAUUAAAGGUUUACCGGUGUAAGAUGGGGAUGCGUU
rnacentral:rRNA from 1 species